CACGUAGGGGACGAGCGUUGUCCGGAUUCAUUGGGCGUAAAGCGCGCGUAGGCGGCUCGGAAAGUCGGUCGUGAAAUGCCGGGGCUCAACCCCGGGACUGCGUCCGAUACUCCCGAGCUGGAGGCAGGUAGGGGAGAUCGGAAUUCCUGGUGUAGCGGUGAAAUGCGCAGAUAUCAGGAGGAACACCGGUGGCGAAGGCGGUUCUCUGGGCAUGACCUGACGCUGAGGAGCGAAAGUGUGGGGAGCGAACAGG
rnacentral:rRNA from 1 species